UGUGUGGGAGACCAUCGUGCGUACCAUGCGUGAGGGGGAGACGGCCCAGUUCCUCUGCGAUGUCAAGCACACAGUCCUGUAUCCUCUGGUGGCCAAGAGCCUCCGCAACAUCGCUGAGGGCAAGGACCCCUUGGAGGGCCAGCGGCAUUGCUGUGGAAUUGCUCAAAUGCAUGAGCAUAGCUCCCUGGGUCAUGCGGACCUGGACGCCCUGCAGCAGAACCCUCAACCCCUCAUCUUCCACAUCGAGAUGCUGAAGGUGUUGGAGCUCGACCCUGCCCUGGCGCCUGUGGUAAGCAGAGAGCUGCGGGCCCUGGAGGCACGGAUCCGGCAGAAGGAUGAGGAGGACAAAGCCCGCUUCCGGGGCAUCUUUUCCCACUAACAGGACCUCAGUUCUGCCCUGCCCUGCCAAGCCCACUGCUGCCACCACCUGUCAAUCCCCCACUGCCACCUUGUGCUUCUGUGUAUAUAAAGGCCUUAUUUAUCUCUC
rnacentral:lncRNA from 1 species